rnacentral:rRNA from 1 species
UGUAAGCGUAUACCAAAGUUGUUGCAGUUAAAAAGCUCGUAGUUGGAUUUGUGGCGUACGGUGUGUUCCGGGCACUUGUUGCCUGAGUAACCUGCUGUUGCCAUCCUUGGGUGGAACCUGUGUGGCAUUAGGUUGUCGUGCAGGGGAUGCCCAUCAUUUACUGUGAAAAAAUUAGAGUGUUCAAAGCAGGCUUAUGCCGUUGAAUAUAUUAGCAUGGAAUAAUGAGAUAGGACUUUUUUGCUAUUUUGUUGGUUUGCGCAAAGAGGUAAUGAUUAAUAGGGACAGUUGGGGGUAUUCGUAUUCCAUUGUCAGAGGUGAAAUUCUUGGAUUUUUGGAAGACGAACUACUGCGAAAGCAUUUACCAAGGAUGUUUUCAUUAA